UCCAGACUCCUACGGGAGGCAGCAGUGAGGAAUAUUGGUCAAUGGCCGCAGGGCUGAACCAGCCAAGUCGCGUGAGGGAUGACGGUCCUAUGGAUUGUAAACCUCUUUUGUCAGGGGGCAAAGGGCGCCACGUGUGGCGUUUUGCGAGUACCUGAAGAAAAAGCAUCGGCUAACUCCGUGCCAGCAGCCGCGGUAAUACGGAGGAUGCGAGCGUUAUCCGGAUUUAUUGGGUUUAAAGGGUGCGUAGGCGGCCCGGAAAGCCAGCGGAAAAAGCCCGGGGCCCACCCCCGGCGAGCCGUUGAAACUGUCGGACUAGAGACGGCGAGAAGUACGCGGAAUGCGUGGUGUAGCGGUGAAAUGCAUAGAUAUCACGCAGAACUCCGAUUGCGAAGGCAGCAUACCGGCGCUCAACUGACGCUCAUGCACGAAAGCGUGGGUAUCGAACAGGAUUAGAUACCCCCGUA
rnacentral:rRNA from 1 species